rnacentral:rRNA from 1 species
UACAGAGGGGGCAAGCGUUGUUCGGAAUUACUGGGCGUAAAGGGCGCGUAGGCGGCCAACUAAGUCGGACGUGAAAUCCCAAGGCUCAACCUUGGAACUGCGUCCGAUACUGGAUGGCUUGAAUCCGGGAGAGGGAUGUGGAAUUCCAGGUGUAGCGGUGAAAUGCGUAGAUAUCUGGAGGAACACCGGUGGCGAAGGCGGCAUCCUGGACCGGUAUUGACGCUGAGGCGCGAAAGCCAGGGGAGCAAACGGG